GUAGGGAAUAUUGCACAAUGGGGGAAACCCUGAUGCAGCGACGCCGCGUGAGUGAUGAAGGCCUUCGGGUCGUAAAGCUCUGUCGUAUGGGACUAACAAAAUGAAGGUACCAUGCAAGAAAGGAUCGGCUAACUUCGUGCCAGCAGCCGCGGUAAGACGAGGGAUCCUAGCGUUGUUCGGAAUUAUUGGGCGUAAAGCGGGUGUAGGCGGGCCUGUCAGUCAGGUGUGAAAUCCCAGGGCUUAACCCUGGAAGUGCACUUGAUACGGCAGGUCUUGAGUGUGGUAGAGGCUAUUAGAAUUCUUGGUGUAGUGGUGAAAUACGUAGAUAUCAAGAGGCAUACCGGAGGCGAAGGCGGAUAGCUGGGCCAACACUGACGCUGAGACCCGAAAGCGUCGGGAUCAAACAGGAUUAGAUACCCUAGUAGUCC
rnacentral:rRNA from 1 species